CGCAGCAGGCGCGAAUCCUCCGCAAUGCGGGAAACCGCGACGGGGUCAGCCGGAGUGCUCGCGCAUCGCGCGGGCUGUCGGGGUGCCUAAAAGCACCCCAUAGCAAGGGCCGGGCAAGGCCGGUGGCAGCCGCCGCGGUAAUACCGGCGGCCCGAGUGGCGGCCACUUUUAUUGGGCCUAAAGCGUCCGUAGCCGGGCUGGUAAGUCCUCCGGGAAAUCUGGCGGCUUAACCGUCAGACUGCCGGAGGAUACUGCCAGCCUAGGGACCGGGAGAGGCCGGGGGUAUUCCCCGGGGUAGGGGUGAAAUCCUGUAAUCCCGGGAGGACCACCUGUGGCGAAGGCGCCCGGCUGGAACGGGUCCGACGGUGAGGGACGAAGGCCAGGGGAGCGAACCGGAUUAGAUACCCGUGUAGUCC
rnacentral:rRNA from 1 species